UCCGUCAUUAUGAUCUAGUCUGGUACAUCCAGGAGGCUUCAAACGCGCACUGGAGUGGCCUGAGUCUAAUUUAGCGCUCAUUUAGGCCGCAGGUACCACACAAGGUAAACACGGUAUUGUUAUAAUUAAUUACCCCUUAGGCCUCGCCAGGCCAUCUCUGUUUCAGCUGACCCUUAUAAUAAUAAGGCUGCCGGGCAUAUUGUAUUUCUUUUGACAGAUUAAUUAGAAAUUCAGCCGUGGAGGUACAAAGCAACCCGGUCAUGAAUAUUUAAAUGGCCUGACACAAAAAAUCAUGAAAGAAUUGCUGAACUACAUGACGGACAGGGGAUAUUAGGGAAGUGACUCUAAUCAAUAAUCUCUUGAUCUCUUACAUAUUAAUACACUGCCUGCUGUUAUUAAGCUCCGUAAUAAGGAAGGGGAGAGAAAGUUAGUGUAGCUGUGCUGUAGGCCUCGGCGAGGCCCCCAGUGGUUAUGCUAACUGACUGAGAAAAUGCACAGAGGAGCCAGGCCUCAGCCUCUUCAAUCUAAUCCAAUCUUAAGAAAUGGCAGCGCUGAGGAGCGCAGACUGGAUAAUUAUUGGCGCUGACAAGGUGAGGGCGUUUGCAGGCAAAUGAGCUCGGAAGCAGCCCCAGUGCCCAGACCACCCAGAGCAGGGCACAGAAACACCAGCCUGCGCUGCUGUUCGCCUUGUCGGGGCGGGGAGCUGAGGGCCACUGGGGACAUUGGCCCUGCCGAGGCCUAGGCCAGGAGCAGUGGCCGCUGAGGCCUGCGGGGCGCCUGCCUGUUGUCGGGGCGACUCUGACACCAAGUCCAGGAGAUUUACUUGGGGUCCCUGUGCGCAGCGUUGGCAUCGCCAAGGCCACCGAGUGAAUUAAGCAGCAGAGGCUGAAUAUCAUCUAAAUUCAUUAGCGGACAAACCGCUGCUUCCCUCCAGCCCUGAGCAAGGCACUGGCUGUGCGUGCUCCAGGCCCUGUGUGGGCCUUACACUGCUGCGGCCCCCGAGGGUCCAUGAACACCCCAGCAGCAGCCUACGAGACCCUGUAGAGUCAGUCUGGGUGGGGGUAGGGUAAAAGCAGGCUGCCCUAGGAGGAGGGCACCACGGCCUCUAGCUCAGCCUUUGGCAAGCAGGACCGUAGUGAACAGGACAACCUGGAUUUGACAGCGGUAGGAUGUGUUGAGGUCCUGCGUGUACAGGGAAGCAGAGCGUGGUCAGGGACAGCCUAAUAGGCUGCUUGACUAUGGGAAAACAAGAAGCUACUGGGAACACCAGAGUGAGGGCUCUCUGGAUUCCCUUAGCUGAGCUGCAACAGCCUGGACUGAACUGGGGAUAGUGGCAGGGAGGAGCAGUCCCCACCUGAGGCUCCGGGGCCGGCUAGCUCCAUCGUAGAGUUUUCUAGAAACUCCUCUUUACACUGUAUGAGCCAGGCUGUGGGAAUCCCCCGGUUGCUCUUACCUAAUGCCUCUGCUUCUUCUGUUCUGUCAGAACAGACUGGGAGGAGGGGAUAGUGUUCAUCAACUACGCCCACAAGAAUGCCAGAGCCCGGGUGCUGAUCAAGCAGCAUCUUUUCAUUUGCCAUGAGGUAUCCCGAGCUGGACUAGUGUCUAGGAACUCUACAAGCCAAGCCCUGGGAUCCUCCUGGGACUCCACUUGAUUUGGGGUCCUUUUGCAAUCAGUGGACUGUGAGAACGGAAACCAUGCCAGAACCCGAACAGCAGCCAGGAGGCCAGGGGGAAAAAAAUCCCGUUGUCUGUUCGUAGUCCUUUAUAAAAAGAAGACUUGACGGGAACUGGGCAAGACACCUCCAGGUGAUACAGAUUCAUUCAGCUGUGAGCGGAUUGCCUGGGGGCCCAGGCCUGUCAUCCCAACGAUUCUGGAGACUGAGAUAGGAGAAUUGUGCAGUCCAAGGCCAGCCUUGGCUACAGAGUGAAUUCAAGGGCAGCCUGAAGCAUUUAGUGAGAACCUGCCUGAAACUAAAGGCACAACGAGUAGCCAGAGUGACCCGCUCUUGACAUUCACGAGUGAGAGUAAGCGGUAAGAAAACUAGAGAACUGAAGCUCGUCUGCGCAUGGACCACCCAGGGACUCCUACGGUGAUGGAUGCUUCAACUCGCAGCUCAAGGUUUGCAUUAUGACAAGCUUGUAAGUCUGCUUUUAUUUAAUACAGUGUGUUUGUGUGUUCACAAGUUCAUAGGUGUGUGCAUGUGUGUAUAUGCACAAAAGUGUGGAGGCCAGAGGGUAGCUCUAGCUUUCCUUCCCUAGAUGCCAUCUACGUUUUAAAGAAAAUAAUUUAAUUUAAUUAGGUUUUAAUAUUUUUUGGUAAGAUUUCUCAUCUGCCUGGAUCUUAGUGAUGAAUAGGUUAGGUCUGCUAGCCAGCUAACCCCAGGGAUCCACUGUCUCCUCAUCCCCGGCACCAGACUAUAAGCAUCCGGGUAUCUUUAUAUAGGUCCUGAGGAUCAAAACCAUAUCCUCAUGCUUUAAAAAAGAGAAUUUACCAAAUAAGCCACAUCCCUAGCCCUUAGUGGUUUCAAAGGCUGAUAAAUGUUUCUUUCACCAGACAGACCACACUCCUAGUUCUCUGUGAAAACUCAGGUGAGAUCAGUCUCAUGAAGGGUAGAUUUGUACAAAAACCCACUCUGCCCUUAGAAUCAUUCUGGUUAUGUCUCUUCAGACUGUGACUUAUAUUGCACAAGUAUUUUCAGAUUCUGGGAGCUUCCUGUCAAGGUGUACCCUGAAGGUCAUGGUGACAUACAUUUUUCCAUCAUCCUUUGAAAAGGCUAGCUGCAUCCUUCACCCAUAAGGAUUUUAUUAACAUCACAGGUAGAAAAUCGUUUCUCAAAAUUUGUUCACAUUUACAUGUUUUUAUAUUUAGUUGAUAGUGAGCGUUUAUUUUCUUCUACUUAUCAGUUAUAUGUGUUUUCCUUUUAGUGAAUUAUUUAUGGCUUUCACCCAUUUAUUAAGUGUAACAUUAAAAAAUUCUUCCUGAUUCAUGAUCACUUUUUGUAUAUUAGGUUAAUAUUUGGUCAUAUUUACCAUAAUUAUUUUCACCCCAUUUGUUUGUUGUUUGACAUUUUCAGUGUGUGUGUGUGUGUGUGUGUGUGUGUGUGUGUGUGUGUGUGAGAUAGAGAGAAAGACAUAGAGACACAGAGACAGACACAGAGACAAAGACGGGAAGUUGAACAAUGUGGGUGUGGAAGCAUGUGGAACAUGAGGGGUGACCUCCCUCGUCGGCCUUCACCUUCUAUCUUGUUUGAUAUCAGCUCUGUCUGUUGUUCACACUCAGAGCGAGCUAUGCUGGUUGGCCUGUGAGCUUUCUCACCUUCUCUGGUUCUCUUGUUUCUACCACCCAUUUCUGGGACUACAGAGGCACCUACUGCAAUCAGAAGUGCCUGGGAUCAGACUCUGGUUCUCACACUUGGAUGUGGUAAAUGAUUUACACACGGAGCCAUCUCCCCAGCCCUCUUGUUUGACUUCUAAAUGUUUUAAAAAUACAUUUGGUUUUCAAACCAGGCCAGGGUAUUCAGCAUGUCUACCACAAGAAUACGACUCUGACAGAGAUGCUGGGAGCAGAGGCUACAGUGAGUGGGAUGCUGAGAUCAGGGCCUUGAGGACAUGAGAAGUCUGGCUGAGGGUCUGACUGGAUUCUCCUCCCACCCAUGGUGCCUCCAUGCAUACAGGAAGUAUGGUUUUCCAGUUGGAACUUGUGUGGAUUUCCCAGUUAGUCUUUUUUUUUUUCUUUUCUAACAUAAAUAAUUUGGCGUGGUUUCCACACAACCAUUUAUCAUUGCUUCUGGGUUAUUAACACUCAAACUCAGGGGCAUUUCUGUAUAUGCCAUGGCUUUGAGGCAACGACCGAAAAAUAAUUAAAAGGCUCCCACACCAUCGGUGGCCUGUGACUGCCCCCGGACACCAGAACUAUGACUGGCCAGGCUUGGGUGACCGCUGCCACUUUAAAGGCUAAAUUAUAUAUUUUUAUUAGUUGCCUGCUAUUUUGCUCCUCAUUCCUCUACAACUCUCAGAAGAAUACCAUCUGGACUCAGUAAUUUAUUACAAUUUAAUUUCUCAAUUUGUCUCAUCACCUCUUUUCUUGAUAUUUCUAUCAGCAAAGUCCUCUCACCCCAGUAACAGGAUGCUGGAGACUGGCAGCCUGGGAAGAGGGCCUGCUUCCCAGGAUGAAGCCACUGCUGGGCUACCUUCUAGGCUUUCCCUUGGAACACUGGCAUGCCCUGCUCAGCUGUAGUCCUGAGGACCCGAAUCUACGCAGCAGCCCUGGGAAGAAGAUGAGCAGGUUGAUCAGCAGUAGCUUUUCUCCCCCCAUGUAGAUCACAACAGUGUGUGGCUCUAACUUGCCCUUUCAUCGUCCUUUGUGCUCAGGUAAUACAUUUAAACACAAGUCUUAGAUCUGUGGCUAAAUAUGCAUGAAGCCAACACACCCCACGAAAAAAAUGACAAUUCCAAUCUCUCUUCGCGAAGCUUGCUUUCUCUGAUGCAACAGGAACAGAAUUCUCUUUAGGUUUUGGAUGGCAGCAUAGUCCUACAGCAUCUAGGGAAGAGGUGUCUGGGGCAGCAUUAAGACAAACCUAGCAUGCUGGGGCUCCUGACCAUAGCAUCCCAGUACCAUGGUCUUAGAGGGACACAAGGCCAGCCCUGUGACCAUCAGCACCUCUGAUUCCCACAUAUUCUUCCAAGGUCAGGUUGUGACAGUUGGGCAGAUGUGAAGACUGAAAGAAGAAAUAUCCCUGGUUCUCUCCAUUCUCUGUGCACCACACAGAAUACAGAUAUGACCCCUGCAUGUGAGAGGUAGCUCUUUCUCUGACGUAGUGCCACCCUCAGAGGGGAAUCCCUGUUACCUUCCAUUUCAGAGGUCAGACAAAAUGAUGAUGGGAGUUCCUGGGAAAAGGAAGUCACCCUUUCACCUGAAUGAAGGAUGUAUGUGUAUACUAUGUGUGUAAAUACUCACAUGCGCGUCUGUGCAGUGAAUGGUGUGUGUGUGUGUGUGUGUGUUGUGAAUAUAUGUAUAUAUGUGUGCAUGUGUGUAGUGUAUGAGUGUGGUGUUUGUGUUUGUGUGUGUUUGUGAAUGUGUGGUGUGUGAAUAUAUGUAUAUAUGUGUGCAUAUGUGUGGUGUGGUGUGUGUGUGUGUGUGUGUGUGUGUGUGUGUGUGUGUGUGUGUGUGUAUCGAGAACAGGAGACUCAAACUAGUUUUCUGAUUUUUCUUUCUUUCUAUUCU